ACUGUUUAUAGAUUUAGAUAAAUGUUUAUUUUACUUUUUGACUUCAUUUUUUGGACGCCAAGCUGAAGAAACUAUCUUAGAUCUCAUUAAAAUUAGGUAUACAAUAGACAAGACGGAGAAACAUUUCAUCAUUGACCUUUCUGUUGAAGUCUGUUUGGAAUCUGACGCUGCUUGUCAAUUUGCUGUAGACAUCUUCGAGAAAAAAAUGUUCCCUAUUCCUGUGUGCAACCUAGAUGCGGGCUUUAAUAUAGGAAAGUUUUCACUAAAUAAUUGGCUGAAAGACAUUGGUAGUUCUCUGGAGGAUAAUUUGCCUUCGUCAGUAGUUUCACUGCUUCUUAGACAGCUACACUUUGAUAAGUUUCAACAGAGACCAACAUGUUCUGCAUCUGAUCUUAAGUAUGAGAAUGCUUCGAAUGGAUGGA